UAUACGGAGUACUUUCAGGCCGAAUUGAUCAUCAUAAGGUGUUUGCGCUUGAUGUAGUCUCCAGAUUCCAUGUCGACAUUCUCCUCAUAGGUGGUCUCAGACACACAAUAGGUGGCUGGUCGGAAACUAUCCUCUACUUCACAGGCCUCUUUGUGCUUGUAUACUUGGUGAGUGUUUGUGAGGAGAGGUCUUUCAGACGUAGCCUUCUCCAACGAAGAGACAUAGGCGUAGUAGUCUCCCCCUGAGGAGAUCCUUGCCUCAUGGAACUCCACAUGGCUUUGCUGUGGGUGGUGGUGGUGGUGGUGGUGGUGGUGACUCCCGAAUGACAUUUUUGCUACAGACCUUAAUAUGCUAGGAGGCUUGAUGUUUGUUUGGCUCAUGGCUCUUCCUUUUAUAGUCAAAUUAUGAAAAGAACUUAUUCUCAAAGGAUAAGAACACACUUUAUACUCCAGUUCGUGCCAUCAUAUCAGGCAUCAAAUAAUAGCAAAAGGAAUACGUAUUAUGAUCCCAAGCAUUUCAGUUUUACUCUUAGGAACAGAAAAGAAAUUCUUGAACUUCCGAACAAUUUAACAGGGGAGUCUCAGUGAACAGAUAUUCAUUCUUUUCAUUUACCUAACAGAUAAAAAUAGAAAAUACAACUGCUGAUCAUUUAGUCAAGACAAAAAAAUAAAUAAAUAAAUCAUUCUUGCAUGAGAUCACAGGUUCUUGCAUGCCUAGUGUUUUCAGGCUCUUGCUGAUUGAAGGGGAAAAAAGAAUUUUUAGAUGACUCUAGCAUGAGAGGGUUGAUGUUUUCUCCACGAAAAAGUUAUGUAUGUUUCUUUUAUCUUCAAGGAUCCAGACACAUCCAUAUAAAAACGUUUAUAAAUAAUAAAAAGGAUAUUUUUCAACUAUUCUCAUGCAAAAGCUUGUUAUAAGUAUUAAAACAAGGGUCUAAAGCUUCAAUAACUUGAAUAACAAGAAUUGUUAUUUAUGACAUUCCUGGUUCUAUCAGGUUGUUGAUGAAAAAAGAAUCUUGAGAGCUCAAGACCAGAUAUGAUAAAAGAUGAGAAUGUCAAUUCAACUGAAGCAAAUUGUGGGGUAACAGUACAACUGUACAAGAAUAUUUAAGGAAUACAAUCAAGUUCAGUGUAGAGAGAUCAUCGAUGACAGACAAUCCAACAGCUAGUCAACAGCUAGUUGGCUCAAAUUACAGAAAAACAGCAUGGCUUCAGAUGUCGAUAAGCAUCACUUGCAUGAAUUUCCAAGUGGUAAAUUUCAGUUUGGAAGGUUUAGACUAUGCUGAAAGGUCAACUGAAAUAAAUAAAAACACCACAAUUUUGGGCUAUUGGAGAAGAUUUUAAAAGUGUGUUGUCAACUCUUCUUGAUUGUUCUCCUUGAUCAAGGACUGAAAGAGCAGACUGCUUCAUGAGACGGAGUGAAAGGAGAAGUUCCUAAAGAAACUUAAGGAACUUUCAGAAUAAUUUAACUGUCUGAUUGCUAUAUUUCAAUAGACUAUCACAGCGCCUCUCUGUGUGUGCAAACAUAACUACUCUUAAAGAAGAUAGAAAAAGAUCAAACAAGAUCAUAUCAUCAUCAGUUGCUUGAACAUCUGACAUAAAAAAUAUGCGACUCUUAAACCUGCAGAACACAUAACAACAUGUAGACACAAUCACAUACUUCUAAAUACCAAAAUAGUAAAAAGAGUGAACUAUGAGAUUGAUGCAGUUUGAUUUAAGGGGUUUGACUGAGCCAAGUCUAUAUGUUCAGGAAAUUCAUCAUUAUUCUUUUUUCGUAUUGAGAGUUGCACGAGUUAAAUAUUGCCAAUUUGUAUGAAGUUAUAUAUGAGAUUUGCCUUGGGUCCAUAAAUACAAUAUAAUUUGUUUAUGAAAUAAAUGAUAUUUCUUUAUACAGACUGCAUUACACUUUGUGCAUUUGCAGUUAUACAGAUUGUUGAUGCCUAAGAUACUGAGAUCCUCAUAUUUUUAGAGAAUAAUGGUAAUGUGAACACAUGAAAACAUAUACUGUGCAAGUUCCAUCAAACCGAAUUCCAAACUGAUAAAACUCUCUGCAGUCAGAAGGAACACAAGCAUCUGCGAAAGCAAAGAAGUGAAUGUAACUUACUAUCACCAAAAUAGCUUAGUGGGGCUUCCAAACUUCCAAAGCAUACUUAAUUUGCACAGUACAAAAAACACAGUUAAAAUAUCUUACUGAUAACAGAAAAUGGAGAAACUCUCCUUGUAGCUAGAAACGCUGCAGACACUACUUUGGCACCCAAGUUAGGUGAAGCAAGCAUGAUUACUUGAGUAUCUAUAUACAAUGUACACGUACACCUUAGAACUUCUGCUUUCCAACUUGCCUCAGAAGAGUCACACAAAUCAGAUCAUAAUAUCAGCAAUCAUGCCAUAAAUACCAGCAUACUGUUGUUUAUUAUUUUUGAAAGAGACUCCUGCAAGUGCAAUUCCAAUCACCCAUGUUCUCUUUUGCAAUUUCCAGGUAGGAGAUAUUUGUACUUGUCAAAAUUCUGAAGCAGAUAAGCAGGAAGAUGGACUGCAGAAUACGUGUGAGGUAUAGGCCCCAGCUUCCCUACAAUCUCCUUAAAUGUAUACUCCUCCGGAAGCAUGUCAUAAAGGUCUGCUCCUCGGCAUAUGACAUCCUGAAUCCUUGAUGGAUUCAGAUAAUACGCAAAUCUCACACGAUCAACAUGGCUGUAUGCCUUCAUCUUGAACACAAACUCGCCGAUGUAGCGGAAGCAGAAGCUACAAUGCCACCCCGAAUCUGACAGUAUGUCAUCGGUCUGGCGGUAGUGGGCAUAUCUCGUCUUUCCAGCACGGUACCUAUGAACCGAAGCCCUCCAGCUCUUGUUAUCCAACAAGAACUCAAAAGAGUACAAGUAAUUCCGCAGUCUGAGAUGUAGCUUUUCUGGAAUGUCAUCGCACCACCUCAAGAGGUUAAUCGUGUGGCCACUUGGGAUCUCAUCGACAUCCGACAUGAUCAACAAAUCAUCAUCACCAAUUCCUGAAGCCCUGAUGAGAUGAUCCAAUGCCACUCUCUGGUAGGACUCCUCAACAAAAGGAUUCUCCCCCUUGACGAACCUCCCACCGACAGUCCCGUAAUUGAGCCGUGGCUCCACAAACUCAAAUUGACCCCGGUUCUCAGCAAAGAAGAAGGGCUUUUGCAGGCCAGUGAAGGUAGAAUUAGACUCGAGGAGCACGAAUUCCGAAACAUAAGGGUACAAUUCGUGCCAGCGGAUGGCAAGGAUGUCCAAUUCAUUGCUAAAGAGCACCGCAUCGAACACGCGGCGGGGAACAUCGCGGACUCCCCAGCCAUGGAGCUUGCAGAGGUUCUCCAUGGAGACAUUCUCGUCAUAGUAAUGGGGGAUAUCCUUGAACGGCCUCGGAGGGGAUUCCCAGAGAGGGCGAAGGAAGUAGGUGAUCUUUUGGCCAUGCAAGUAGAUGCCGACAACAAAGGUCGGGACGACCAAGAAGAGAAGGACUACGGCUCCGAAAUUUGAAUCCCGGGGGGCGCACCGGAGCUUUGACAUGGUCCGUAUUGCUCUGCUCACCUGCCCUCAUACACAACGACAACGAUCACGAGUAUGAGGCUCUCUUAGGCAAUUCAACAAACACCUCAUGGAAAAGACAAAAAUUCUCGGAAAAAUUAGAGCAAACAGGAUCGAGAAGCACCAAAUCCAAACGCCGAAUUCGAUAAGCGAGGAGCGUAGGAGGAACGAGAAAAGGAUCAUCACCUGAGUGCAGUAUUCGUCGCUGGUAUCAUCCGACUUCUUCGAAUCGUAAUCUAAACCUUCGAGCAUCGCGCAAAGGGCUCCAAUUUACGUUUAUUAUCAUUAUUAUUAUUAUUAUAUGGGAUUUUCACAUAUUUAUCAUCUCAAACUCGAAAUUACUUUGUAACCCUUUACAAAAUCUUAAAUUGUAAACUAUAUUAGUAUUAUUUAAAGCUUAUAUAUAUAUAUAUAUAUAUAUGUGGAGGAAUAAAUAUGAAAAUUAUUUUUAAAGGGAUAUACAUGUAAUUUGACCAUAUAGUUUUAUUUAGAAGGAGAGAGGGAAACGAACGGACGCCGAUCAGUCUUCAAACCGAAAGAGUCGCGUGUCGGUUGAGCUCUCGCGUCGAUUUAUUGGUUUUAAUUCUCGGGUCAGAUCCAAUAUGACAACAUUAUAAUGAAAAAGAAAUAGUAAAUUAUCUAUUAUCCACAUGUGAUUUUAGUCUAUUAUCACAAAAUAAUUAUUUAUAUUUAUAAUUACUACCAUAUAUGUCAAAAUCAUAGUGUGUCAACACACACACAAAAAAAAACCAGAUUAUUAAUUGUUUAUCGUAAUUUUAAAGAAUCACAGCAGACUAAAUCAAUGUAUUAUAGAAGCUCUGCUAAACUUGUUCUUCUUGCAGUGCAGAGACUGACAUGGGGAUGCAUCAUCCCCCUCAGAACAGCACUGCUUUCAUGUGGGUCACAUCAAUCAAUAUCCACAGAGUAAAGCAACCAACAUGAAAAGGAUUUUGUUAAUGGAAGAUGUGUACUCCACAGGAAUGCAGAUCAGACAUGUUCUUUCUUGCAAUUCUCUACUUCUUAUCUUCUUCAUCUAUGCCUCAGCUUCCUUCCAUCUCCAGAAAAAUGAUAGCAGCAUGCAAUGAAACCAAGCAGAGAAACAUCAGGAGAGGGUUCACUCUGUCAAAACAUAAGCUUGGCAGCAGAAGCCGAUGGAUUAAUUCUUCGAUCUCCUGAAGAACUGGGAAAAGUCGAACCAUGUAUGUGUCAGCUGCAUAAUUUAAUAGUACAAGCCACUGCUUGGGCCCAAUACUUGAGCCUUGCUUUUACUGCAUCCGGAUCAUCCCCUGGUAUCAACAGAAGAGGAAAUUGAAUCAGAGAUCAUGGGAUGGCAACUACAACAGAUUCACCAAAUAAUUCUAUGAUCACAUAUAUCUUUUCCAAGAAACAGGAAGCAAUCAAAUUCCCCCAUUUACUCGAUUUGUAAACACAAAGAGACCACUCCUCGUGAUUGGUUGAAUCGUAUUGGGGAUAAAAAUUGGUCCUUUUUUUCUAGUCUUCGUGGACAUAUGAAGCAAUAUUAGGAAUGAUUUAUCCGGAUGAACACAAAUAAGGGUUGCUUGGAGGAGGAACAACAAAGAUGGGACCUUUUGGCUCAUUUGUAGAACGCCAAAAACGAAUCUUUGGCACAAUUAGCAAAGGGGAGGACCCAAGAAAGAAGUUUUACCAGGACCGGAAAUCCUCCAGUUGGCGAUGGGAGGAGAAGGAGGCGGCGCGCUCAGAUCCAUGGACUCGGCAGAGGAGGAGCGAUCCUGCUGUUGCUGUUGCUCGUCCAAGAACCUCUGGCUCAUGGAGUAGCAGAGCUCUAACGCAGGGAGCGUGUCGCAGAGCUCGGGGAUCUCCUCGUAGCUGAAACCGAAUCCGAGGUCGAGGCACCCCUUGAGCUCAUCCAGGUCCUCAUCCGUCAAGCUCUUCGUCCUCGCGACGCCGCCGGUUCCCUCCUCUCCGCCGUCCGCCCCGUCCACGUAUCCCUCGAGCGUCACCCCGCCGCACUUCCGCGGCCAUACCUCCUCCUCCUCCUCCUCCUCCUCCGCUUCCACCGCCAGAGACAGCGUCUCCUUCAUCUCCUCCUCCCUCAUCGAAGGAAGGGAACCGGUUUCCAUGGAAUAGCUUCCAAUCUCUGUAUCUCUCUGGCCGCGGUGUCUGGGCUUUAAAUGGGUUCCUCUGAUGAUGAUGAUGAUGAUGAUGAUGAUGGGAAACAGACGGCAUGUGAUGCCGUUCGAAACACGAGAGGCAACCUGGACGAUCAAUAUCUACUCUCUUUUCUCUCGUACCGUACAAACUUACUUGUAUUUUUAUUGGAUACUUUUGUGUAGGACCCACUUAAAUCACCAAAUUAAGCCGAUGGAGUCGGGAAGACAGGUGGCUCCGUCGGGCUUUGCAGCUCAAUCCAACCUGGGUUUCGCGUUGGGUUUGCUGCCUCCGAGUGCACCAGUGGGAACGAGACGCAUGGCUUUCAGCCCACGCGACAGCUUGUGGUGGAGCGGCGCCGCUUUUUGGGGCCCACCCUCUUUCCGUCCACACACGUCUUUUUCUUCUUUUUCUCUUUCUUUUUUUUUUUUGAGAAAAACCCAGGCUUAAAAAAAUAUAAUAUAUAGUCAAUAAAAUACAGAUAAAUCAUUUCAUGUUUAUAUAUAUAUCUCUCUCUCUAUAUAUAUAUAAGGUAAUGUUGCUUAUAUAUAUAUAUACUCUUCCUUCUUUUCAUGAAAAUAGAAAAACUGUCCCUUCAUUUCGUGUUAAUACAAACCACACAGUCAUUCUUCUAUCUCCAAACACUUCGGGAUACACAUCAGCACUCAUCUUUCUUGACAAAGAUUGCUGAAAAGUGAUUCAUUUCAGUAACAAUGAUUUGGACAACCAGCUUUAAACCAGUGGUUGAGGAACAUCACAGCAUGGGGCUGUCUUGAAUCUGUGUAUGGCAGCAAACUGAAGCUGAUUUGCCAAUCCUCCCCUUGGAGAUGUUUAGAGAUAAAACAGUUGACACACGUAAUCUCAGUCAUUCUCAAGACACUAAAAACACUAUUUAUAUUUUUUUUAUCCUACCUUGUGGUUUCAAGCAAGUGAAGGAUGAUCAAAGGGGGCAAAUUUUAGCAUCCAAACAACAACUCAUGUAUAUUGCUGUGAACAGAAGUUUAAAUGAACUGCAAGCUGCAUUGGAUCACUAGCUAGCUUUUGGUCAGGAGAGAUGAGCUGUUUUAGUACCAAGAGGGAUAUUAAACUCACAUUGUGAGCAGCAGACUAGAUUAUCUAAAGUUAGCCUAAUGAUCAAACAAGCAGCCACAUGAUUCCCUCGAUUGAUGAUAAUUAUUACUAAGGCAAUCAAUGCCUUUGGCAUAUGAUGAGAAGCUUGAUGUUAGUUAGACCUAAGUGAUAAUUAUUUCCCCAAAUCAUCAUCACCAACAAGGAUAAGCAAUUGGUGUUUCUUACUAUUGAUGACUUGAUAGUUCCAAAUGCAGGUAGAGAUCAUUUAGGAAGGCAGAGUUUAGUGCACCAUACAUAAAUCUACUCAUGAUAUAUUUCUACAUUUGAUAUCCAUGACCUUGCACUGGGCCAUACAUCCAACUAACCUACUAAGCUGCAAGCUGCAAAAGGAUCUACCUACCUGUCCAUACUCAUUGUGUGUCCAUUAUUAUCCUCAAAAAAGACAAACCAGAAACCAUAAUUUUUUUUCUUUUUUCUCUGUCACAACCACAACAAUUGGAUCUACAAGACUUUUAACAGAUAAAGGACAAAGAAGAAGAAGAAGAAGAAGAAAGAAAAGAUUUCCUGUUCUUUAAUGAUCAUGUGGCUCAGGAGAAACAGAAGAUUCAGCAAUCCAUAUGAAUUGUUCUUCUCAUGAGUACCCGACUCCCAACUCCUGUCUUUGGAAAAUGUGACAUGUGGGCCUUUCUUUUAGUCCACUCCAUUUCUUUAUCUUAUGAUGUUGAUGCUAGAACUGCAGUUGCAACCAUUAAUUGGCAGUCCAAUAUUCUAAUCCAUACAACUCAGCCAGGUCAAUCCAAUCAAACUAUUGCUCAUUUGUUUCUCUAGAAGGAUCCACUUGCGUUUUUCUUUUCCAACCUCCCCCUGGCUUCGAGUGCAGCUGGCAGCUGAUCAAUGAUGAGGCAUUAGCUGUGACAAGUCAAAGGCAGGCAGAACAUAAAGCCAUGAGGUGGACUGAUCGACAUUUCUCCUGCAAGUUCAUGUAGAUAAACAACCAAAACAAACAAACAAUGUGGUACAUGAGCAAGUGACGAUCAUAUAGGCUUGGAUGAUGCCAACGAGAUGCUUUUGGGAUCAUCAAAUGCGUCUGAAUGAAAGAAGAAUUGCACACUCUUAAUUUUGUAGAAAAUAACUUCAAUUUGAGAUGGUCGGCCAGUUGUGUGUUUUACUUAUUACUUGGUUUUGGGGUUCCCAUACAUGCCUUUGGCAGUUUAUGAUUAAUAAUGAGGGACAUGCAUUCAGAAAUCAGAACUAUUACUGAUCUUGCAGUAAUUUUAAUUUUAUAAAAGUUCUGUAUAAUGGAAAGCAUGCAAUAUCUACCCAUUAUAAUGUUAUCCAUUCUCCUAAGAAAUUCUUACCAUUGUCAUGAGUACUAUUUUUCAAUAACUCCAUCAUAAAUGCUUUUUUUUUUCCUCUAACUCUCCAUGAUAAUAAGUAUGCAUGAAUAAGAUAUGAAAUUUAAUUAAAUAUGGAUAUUGAGAAAUCAGUUUAUAAAGGAUAGACUUGUUUGAGAAACUAUUAUAUUUAUUGCACAUUGCCUAAGUAUGAGCUCAACAAGUUAUCAAAAAGAUUCCAGUUCAUCCAAGCUGAGUUGAUGAAAUUGAUGAAACAUGCUUAACCAAAUAACCCAGAGAAAAAAAUAGAAAGAAGAAAAGAAAGUGGUGAAUUGAGUUUAGAUUUAACUGUGAUAUAUCAUAAUCUUUUUAUGAAAGCUUGGUUAUUAUUUUGAUCCAAUAUAUCUAAGAUGAAAAUUCUUCUUAAAUUUUAGCAACAGAAACACUUACAAAAUGGAUUCACUCCGUGCCUGUAAAUGCAGGUGAAAUAUAAUGCUCAUCUCCUAGAAGUUAGCUGUUACAUCAAUUUCAAACUUCGAUAAGUCAGAGUUGGCAAUAUAAAAAGUAAUCUGCCUAGAAAUUAGCUGUUAAAUCAUUUUCAAAGUUUAUCAUAAGCCAGAGCUUGCAACCAAGUAGCAUGUUUCAAGAUUGAGGUUAGGGGAAGCUAGUAGUUCAUAUGAAGUUACUACAAAAAUAUAAUGGAUUUAGCUACUGAUAACCAUACACAAUCAAGGAGAGCACAGACAACACAAUUUAUUACCAUGUAAACUUUUUUUUUCCAAUGUAUUCAGCAGUAAUAUAGCAACUCAAUGGCCUGGCAACAAGAACAUAAAUUUUGAGCCAAAAAUUUUCCAAUCAGUAUAAAAGACUAAUAGUACACAUACCUAAAUUAAAUUAACUAAACAUGAUUGUAAACAGUGUCACAUGAUCAAACCUUGGGCUCAACCAACAUCCAUGUUUUGACUCAAAUGAUACACCAAUCAACAACUAUAGCAAUAAUGUGUUUGAUAACAUGAUAAGCAAUAAUAUCUUGUUGGAUCUAAUUAUUAGACUUCAAUCAUGGAUACAUAUUUUCAGAUUCAAACCCGAAUACUAUAAGAUAAUGCAUACAAGUUCAAGAUGCAAAGCUGACCCCAUAGCUAAAUGGAUUAAUUUUGGCAUUCUUAUCAUAAAACAAGGUCAGAUUUUGUUCAGGUUUUGUUGACACUAAGACUGCCAUGAUAAAAGCUUAAUAUCCCACAGGAAUGCCCCAUAUUAGUAUUCUUAUGCUGGACAUUUAACUCAUAUCCCUGUAAUUAAGAAAAAUAAUAGUUCUAUUAUUAAAAACUAAAUAUAUAGCAUGCAUAUAUGUUAUCUAAUUAUGCAAAGUACUCAGAUCUUUAGCACGGAGAUAUAUCUCAAACAUCUCUAUCCCUAAACAACGGCACUAGAAUUAGAUUAUAUGGAUGACAGAGUGAGGUCCAACCUCCUUGCCAUGUACAUUAAGUUCAUUCACCUUCGACAAAUGCAUAUAACAAUGCAGUAACAUGCAUGCCAAGGUUAUGUUCAAACCCCUUUAUCAUCAAGAUGUUAUGUCACCUCAACUAUCUCUGCCAUUGAAAACAUAGGCAUAGUUUGAUGUAUUAUGUGAUAUGGAAUCCCAAGGGUCAAUAAGCCAUGCGAGAGAGGACUAAUAAUAGGUAAAAAGUAUAAGUUUGAAGAUUUUCUGUUGUAAAACAGGUCCUGAAACUGACACUUCCUUGGUUUCCUUACCUGGUUAAGCAGUAGCUUCUCCUGUCAGUAUAUUUAUAAUCUACAUAACAAGAAAAAAGAUUUGGCAUUGAUCAGAUAAUUAAUUCAUCCAAAUAUGGAUAACUAUUUUAUUAGAACAUCAACUAUCAUUAAGAAUGAACAUACAAGAUAUAAGUCUUGCUAUGUUCUUGGAAAAUGACACGCACGAAUGUCUAGCAACAUAAAUACAAAGUUAAUCUUAAGAUGACUUGUUGCUAUUGCCUUCUGAAAACCAGAAACUUGAAAAGAUAGAUUGGAAUUCCAGAUGCUGUCUGUGAACCAACUCUAGAAUCCAAUGCUGUGAUCAUCUGAUCCAGACGCUGUUGUAACAAAUUCCAGAAGGAAAGACAAGUGCUCAAGAAAAGAUGAAUGCACAAACAAUCCUAAAUGGCCAUUAUCAGUCAACAUUUUAUCUUUACUUUCAUUAGUUAUAAAUGACUACGAAUCAGAAUUGAACCAUGUCAGUUAUUACCUGAUGACCUUUUCUAGUAGAUGAAAUUGUAGUAGCAAUGAGUUGAGUUCUAAACUAACAAAACCACAAGUCCCCACUAUUUGGGAUCAUAUGUGGAUUUUUUGUCAUCAUUGAGAGCUGAAAUCGAUUAAUAUCCAUGUUCAUGAGAUUUGACAUAAUUUUAUGCUAGUUGUCAGUGACUUAACAUAACCCUCCACCUUUUUCAUCCAAAGAUAGCCUUAUCCUAGAACAAUAUUCUAACUCUAUUCCUUUAGUUCUAAGCUAAAGGCAUGAAUUGAGAAAGAGAGAGAGAGAAUACUGUUCUAGGUUCAGACUAUCUCUGGAUAGUUUUGCGCUAGUUGUCAGUGACCUAACGCAAUCCUCCACCUUUUUCAUCCAAAGAUAGUCUUAGCCUAUAACAGUAUUCUAACUCUGUUCCUUUAGUUCUAAACUAAAGGUAUGAAUUGAGAAAUAGAGAGGGAGAAUACUGUUCUAGGUUCAGACUAUCUCUGGAUAUGAAAUACAAUUUGAGCAAAUUCAGCAUAAAAUCGAAGGUUUGUUGCAAUAUAUGAUCAAAGCAAUAGGCAGAACUUCUGUCACUUCUAUAGCAAGAAGAAGUAAAAGAUAUGACAAGAAGCAAAGAAAACCAAAAAGGAUCUGCAAAGCUAUUCAUUGAUAGUAGGACCCAAGGCACAAAAGUUUUUUUAAUUGCAUCAAAGGACCUAAUAUCUUUGUCCAUUCUCACAUAUUGAAAUUUAAAUAAUAUUUCUAAUAUUGAAUACUAAUUAAGAUUUUUCAAUAUCUAUCAUAAGAUUGGAUAUUGGAUAACACUUCAAAAUUUUCAAUAAGUCUUCGAUUAGGGAAGACCCCAAUUAUGACAAGGUAUAGAUCGAAAGCCCAUAUUGAGAGAGAGAGAGAGAGAGAAUUCUAGUUAAGUUUACAGCAUUUAUUAAAUGAAAUUAUUUAAUGUAAUUCCAAGAAAUGAAAAAGCUUCUGAAGAGUGAUUUUCAAUAUCUGUAUAUCCGUGUCAAAAGAAUAAAUCUUUAAAAGGAGAAGACUGGACCUUAGGAACCAGCCAUGUGGAACACCUAUGUAUAACGACAUCGUACAUAGUUUCCUUUGCUGAACUUCUGAUUCUUUUGUAAUCCAUGAUAGUGUCAUUUAUAACAUGAAAUGCUGCCUCUUAACAUGGAGUUCCUCGGGCAACUCUUUGCCGUUAGGUCUCUUGGAAGUAUUGUCUGAGGAGGUCCAGACUCUAGAGCAUCUGCAUAUUAAGACACAUGGUUAAUGCUGAACUGUCAUAUAGAAUAUAAAUUGAACUUAAGCUUUGAUCAAACAAAAGUUACUCUAAGGUUUCCUUUCCCUUCACUAGAGUGCUCUGGCCCUGCAACACAAGGCAUAGUAAAUCUGGUAAUCUGACAUGGAGGAAGGAUCAGUUAUUUCUUCAUACAAAAUAAUAUAUAGAGCAAAUUAUAAAUCCCUCCAGUUUUUAGGUUACAAAAGAAAAGCAUAACCCCAUGCCAUUCCAGGAAACAGCAUGGACUUCUAGACAAACAGAGAGUCCUUUCAGCUUUAGAUAAAUAGGCAAAUAGGAUGAAUGCUCAUUAAGUAACAGAAAGAAAAAAGCAUGUUGGUAUAGUUAUUGGGCAUUCAUGGCAUGUAACUUAACAAGCCUAUUCAAUCCAUGUCAAUUUACCUGGCAAUAGCUGGUCCUGCCUAGGAAGAGACACUUCUUACAUAUUGUUUGACAAAAAUAAUUUUGGGGACAUUAUAUAGUUCUUUGGUGAAAGCUUGUCUGAGACAAUGGUUGAUCAAACAAAGCUCAUAGUUCUCCAGAAAAGUAUAAUAGCUUUUAUACAAUAUGGCGACAAACUUCCUUUUAGAACCAAACAUCCUAAGAGUUACAUAUUUACUGCUAGAAAUGAGCAGGUACCGAUUCAUCUUGAAACACCGGCAUUGGUUCCUUGGGAACCAAAGUUCCAUAAUUACUACAUGCUUGCUGAUAGAAAAGACCAUUUGCUGCUCUCAUCUCUGAUUGUGCAUCAGCCUAAGUUGACAAGAAUUUGACAGCCCUCCAUGUGAACACACAUUAUCUGGCAGCUCAUUCGUGCAACAUAUAAAUGAGCCUUCACAAGCUCCAGUAUGAUUUCUAAGAUGACCAGAAUGGUAAGUGUCCACACUAUCUUGCAUAUCCUUAAACAUAGGAAGGUUAUUUUUAUCGGGAACAUCAUUCAGUGUGUUGCAUAAAGCCUUAACUUCAACAUCAACAAAAUCGACACAUGCAGUCUUAGGAGUGGAGCCAUCAUUUGUCACAGGAUAAAUGCCACCAUCAUCCUCGUUAGUAAUAGAUCUCAUAGAAGCAUUAGGUGGCGAUGCAUUGCCCUUAAGCAUCGUAAAGGAAGCAUCAAAAGAGUCUUGAGUUAACAACAUCCCUUCUCGGGCGCAAGGUGCAGUAUCAAACGCCAGGUGGUUUUGUGUGGAGUAAGCUGCACAGGAAGAUGAAACCACUUGAUUCUCCUCCAAACAUACUGAUAAACAAACAGGAACACUGCCUGAUGUCGAAAUAGAAAAUCCAGAUGUCACUACAGUUGUAUUGGGUGGAUAUGCCUCAGAAUUACAAUUUUCACUGAUAACUGAACUUGAGGAUGAAUUAGUACAGCCAGUGUUCUGCUCAACUUCAAUGCCUUGAAGGUCCAUCCCAGUGUCAUCAAUUGGCAAUAUUUUAAUAUGAUUGUCAACUUCUGGAGAAUCACUGAUAUCUUUCGACAGAGUCCUUGUCUCAUGUUUUGCAUUCUGAUGGACACACAUUUCGUCCUUCAUGCUAUUGAUCCAUUCUAACGGACCAGAAUUUAAAUCAACAUAUAAAUUAAUUCCCCCUUCUGACAUCACAAAGAAUUGAAGGGUAGGGGUUCUUGUAGAAAUUUCAUCAGAAGAUACAAACCCACUUUCCAUGGAGUAUUCAUGAAGUUUAUAAUGUUCACAUGGCAUAGGAACUGUAUUAUGAGUUUUAGUGUCUCUAAUAGCAUCAUGGAUCAGUUUCUGCUCUUCAUUUCUUGGUCUCACCAAAUUUUCAAAUUCACUUCUAAUAUUCGUUUUCUUGCACUCCAGACCAAGAAUUUGGGUUGUUCUAGUCUCUUUCAUAUCAGCAGCAACACAUCUUUUUACUCCCUUGUUACAAUGUUCAAAAGUAGAAUAACCAAUACUUUCAGUACCAUUACUAUUAGCAGGCCAUGAUGGACAUAAAGCAUUUGUAACAGUCUGUGGCAGCAACAAAAAACAUAAAUCUUCAUGGAAAAGUCAUUAACUGAGCAAACAAAAUGUCCUAAAUGAAAUUACAUGAAAAGAACCUAGUGUGAACUAAGAAGUACAAGCAAUCAAACACAAUUAUCUAUACCUUUCCUGAAGUUGGACUGACCAUGUGGUCAAUAACAUCUAUUUGAUUACCAGUAUGAUAGAAUGGUCGUUCAUCACCUCGAAUUUCAUUAAAACCUGAAGACAGUCCAUGUGUAUCAACCUUGGAAGAAUUAGCUUUUGGUUCUGAUACAAAUGAUUUUCUAGAAGAUCCAUCCAUCGAAUUAAUUGAAUUCUCCAACAAAGCUGCUGAACUGGCAUUUCUUUUCUGCAAAAAACAUAAGAAAAGCAUUUAAUAAAUUCAAACUAAACUGCUACCGAGUGUAUACGUAUAUCGGGGAACGUUAUUAACUCUUUAAUAAUCCACCUUAAACAGUGAUACCAGUGAGUUGGCUAGUUGAGCAUGGCUUCUAUUUGCAGGAAGAUCAUGCUGUUUACACAAUUUUUGGAGCUCCUUUCUAGACAUUGUGAGAUAGAAGUCCAAGUUAUUCUGGUAAUCCAUCAUCUCAACCUUCCACGCUCAACAGCUAAUCCCCAAUAAUCCUGCUAUUUUGUCCACUAAGUAAAAAGAAAGAGAAAAUUAAAGAAGUUGCAAUAUUUCUAGAAUACAUCUGUAACUGCAUACCAAAACAAGAAAAACAAAAGCAGUAAAUUGACCACAUAUUCUAAAGGAAGUGGAGGAGAGAAGAACAAGCAAGGUGGUUUCUCUUAGAUAAAUUGCAAGAGAUGUCAAAACAAAAACAAAAUAGUAUCAGUAAUAUUAACAAUAUUAGAAAAGAAACAGAAAAUGGGACACAGCAAUGUAAACUCAAAAGCAGGAGAAAACAGACAUGAAAGAAUACAUAUACUUAAUUUUUCCACUGCCACACAAGAUAAUGAUGAGUGCCAAAAUAGCACAAAAUUUCUGAUCAGAUAGUGAUAAGAAUUACCAGUGUUUGAGCAAGGUAACUAAGAUAGAAUGAACAUAAAUAUAAUCUGAUCAGGAAAAGCCUACCACUAUGACCAGGAUGUGUGAUGUGAUCCAUGGUGAAACUUUAUGACAUUUAUUGUUUGAGUGUGAGUUCGCCAAGUUUGAUUGAGAAAGCUAAAAGAUACUUGGACUUAUUUUAGAUGUUGGGUGCAUAUUGUAUUCCGUAAGUUCUGAAUUCAGAAACAGAAAGGGAAACACAGGUUGUUUCAUUUCUCUUCUGUUGAUGUUGGCUUUAUGUAGAGAAAGAAAUAGCAGGAUUUUCAGACUUGUCACAGAAUGUUGAGGAGGUUUUGGAUAGGCCUGUUAUGAGGUAAAAUUACAAUUUAACAAUCUGUAAUUGGCUGUACCUGAUUGUUCUUCAUCCUUUUCCCCCUUCAUUUUCUUCCUUUAUUUUCUGUUUACUGCAUUUUGUACAACAUUUUCUCUUCUUUUGUGCAUUUAAGAUCUUUGAAGUGAGUUCUGGUAGGGAUCUUCCCUUCAGCUUACCUAUUUUGAAAUGGGUUCUGGUAGGAAUCUUCCCUUCAGCCCACAUAUUUUGAAAUAAGUUCUGGUAGGGAUCUCCUUUCAGCUUUCCAUAAGAAACCGUGAAGAGGAAAAAAAAAUUCAACAAGCAUCAUUAGAAACAAACAUAAAAGCGAGAGAACAUCUUUGAAUUAAAAAUCAUAUUAGUUUUCUGCUUGAUCAAAUUGGCAAAAGAACUUAGUUUAGGCCCUCUAAUCACUAAGAAACAAGUACUAACGAAGAAGCAUAAUGAUUUUUGGACUAAUAAUUCUUAUUGUAAACCAAAUUGGAGUUUGCAAAUCUAAAGUUCAAGAACAUCCGAGCCUGACACAUUUUAUUCUCAUGAUCACAUCGAGAGGCUUUUAAGUAAUUUCAGGACACAACCAAUUUGUUCUCGACAUAGAGAUGGACCAGCUGACCCCGACAAUGAUUCCACUGUACGUAUCAGAUUCAUAAAGUGCAAGCAACAGACCAAGAAAAUACAAUAGAAUAGAGAACCUUCAAGGAAUUGAACAAAUUACCCAAUUUGCAAGUACAAUAAGCAAAAACGAAUAAUUGACAGCAUCUUUAGGAAUGAGAACGUGGGUCUUAGCAUCACGAUGAGGUUGUUCCUUUGCUGUAGAAUCCAAAGCAGGCCUCCCUUCAAGAUCCUCUUUGCGACCGAAACAACAUAACCAGUCAGUUUCCUGGUAGUGUCACAAUCACAACGAAAAAGAAACAAAGAGAACAAAAAAAAAUCCGAGUCCUUAUGGUAUCUUGGAAUUGACCGCAGCUGUUUUCCCAAUGGCAGCAACCUAAGAAGCCUAAAGGACUCAACUUGCCUGUGGAAUCCAAUAUCGCGUAUCGAGAAACAAAUCAAAGCAACCAGUAACUAAAACAGAAUCCAAUAGAAAUCAGACUGAAGCGCUAAGAAUCGAUCAUCUCAACAGACCCUAAUGAACAUCAAAACCGGAACACACCAAAGAUCGAACCAGACCUACAGAAGCGGGAAAUCUGGGAAGCAGAAAAAAAGGACCGCCUAGGAUUCGGUAGAGUAGAAAGCGGGUGAAGGUUGCGUCAGCAUGGUACCUCGUCAACACCAGGAACGCCGGAGCUCCGGUCGACCGCUGAGCGUUCGCCGAUGGACAAAAUGAUAAGCCGAGAGGGAGAGAGAGCACUGCAUUUGGAUUUGGGUUCGACUUCACCGCAUCGAGAAUGAAAAUUAACGGGUCGGAUUCCGGUAGCUUUAAAGUUUGAUCCGGCCCGUUUGAAAUCCCCCGUGCAUGGCCCGUUUCCUGACGCAUUUCCACUAAAUCGUACUCCCUAAAAAUAACGAGACUGCAUACGGCCAUUAAGGCUCAUUAAUAUUAUUAUUUUUAAUUAGACCGCUUAGCAAUAGAAUUUUUAAACUAUAAAAUUUUAUAUUAGAAUCUUUGUGGUCAUGAAAAUAAAAUAUUUAAGUUUAUUUAUCGUAACUAUAUCGGUUUUAUUAAUAAAAAUAUAAAAAAAAAAUAAAUAAAUAAGUAAUUUUAAUAUUACGAUUGGUAAUAACGGAUGACGUUAAUGGUGGUAGAUAAUGAUACCGUUGGAGGCCACGAGUAGUUACUGUGAACGGACGAGGAGAGUAGCAAUGAAAGAUAAGGGCCACUUUGCAUCUAUGUUGACGCCAAUGUAGUGAGCGACCCUUUUCACUGCUUUCCAUUUGCAUCGGUAUUGACACAAAUUGUUGAGUGAUAUUAUUUUUCAUCUACAUCAACACCAACAUAGUUCUCGAGCGGUGUCGCUCUAUAUCUACACCGACACCAACACAAAUGUAGAGCGACAAAAGAGUCGCCCGAUAACUAUGUCAACAUCAAUACAAAUGUAGAAUGGCUCAUCAUCUCUCAUUGUUGUCAAUAAUAGCCACCUAUGGCCCCUAGUGGCACUGUCAUUAGUCCACUGAUGUCAUCCGUCAAUACUAACUGAAACACUGAAAUUAUUUUUUAUAUAUUAUUUUUAUAUUUUUAUUGAUAAAACUGACGAUGUUAAAACAAAUGGAUCUAGAUGUUUCACUUUUAUAAUUACAACUAUAAGGAUUUCACCAUAAAUUUUUUAAAUAUAAAUAUUAGAAUACUAAGAAAGUCUAACUAUAAGAUUUAAUAUAUAAUUAAUCCUACAAUAUCGUCAUAAACACUUGAUAAUGACUCUUGAUACGUCCCGUAGAAAGCGUACACUCUCCACUUACUAGCAUAAUGUACUUUACGUUAUAACUCGAAUCUUCGUGGGUCGUCACUGGGCCGAGCUAUCACUUCUUGCAAUCUAAGAGAUCUGGUAAGAAUUCAUUUGGGAUAACAAUUCAUUUAGGUGAUAAUGAAUGCAUAAUCUAAAUUGAAGUCAGUAGUUUUUUAGCUUAGCUAAAGUGAUCUCCUACUUGUUAGAUCCAUUAAUGUGACCUAACAAAAUGCAGACGCAACAACUACCUUCAAUAUAUAAAACAUCCUUUUACGUUCGUUAAUGGAAACAUAAAAGGUUUCGAAGUAUCAUUUAUGGAGAUGUAACCUAUAAAAGCCAUCUUAAUGGAACAUUAGAUGAUAAUUACACAUGGGAGAAAACUUGGAACAUGCAAGUGGUUCGGCAGUACUUAUUGAGCCAACCAAAGCCAACACACUAUGAUCAUUCCAUCUUACCCACUCCCUCUCUCUCGCUUAUAUUAAUGGCUUUCCUCUCUUUCGUGUACACUACUAGCCGUAGCCCUUCAAACCUUCCUCUCUUCUCCUCUUGCAAUUCUAUCAAACACCUCCAAGAUGGUUACAGUGAACGGAGACUCCGCCGGCGCCGGCCUCAUCGUGAGCUUCGGCGAGAUGCUCAUCGACUUCGUGCCGACCGUGUCGGGCGUGUCGCUGGCGGAGGCGCCGGGGUUCCUAAAGGCGCCCGGCGGCGCCCCGGCCAACGUGGCGAUCGCCGUGGCCCGGCUCGGUGGCCGCUGCGCCUUCCUCGGCAAGCUUGGAGACGACGAGUUCGGCCGCAUGCUGGCGGCGAUCCUGAAGGACAACGGCGUGGACGACGCCGGCGUGUCGUUCGACGCCGGGGCGCGCACUGCGCUGGCCUUCGUCACACUGCGCGCCGACGGCGAGCGCGAGUUCAUGUUCUACCGCAACCCCAGCGCCGACAUGCUGCUCACGGAAGCGGAGCUCAACCUUGAUCUCAUCAGAAGGGUAGAUCUCUCCCCGGACACCACACUACUUUAACGUAAGAUUAUGCUUGGAUUCAUGGUUGGAUCUACAGGCCGCGAUCUUUCACUACGGAUCUAUAAGUCUGAUCACGGAGCCAUGUCGAUCCGCUCAUUUGAAGGCGAUGGAGGCGGCAAAGGAAGCAGGAGCCCUGCUCUCCUACGACCCCAACCUCCGGCUGCCGCUGUGGCCGUCGGCGGCGGAGGCCAGGGAGCAGAUCCUGAGCAUCUGGGACCAGGCCGACAUCAUCAAGGUGAGCGACGUCGAGUUGGAGUUCCUCACCGGCACGGAGUCGGUGGAAGACGAAGUCGCCAUGCGACUCUGGCGCCCGAGUCUGAAGCUCCUCCUCGUCACUCUCGGGGAGAAGGGAUGCAAGUACUACACCAAGGUACACAGAUCUGUGGCUCAAGUGAGAUCGAAGCCUUUCUGAGCUCCUGCUGACUUCGCUGGCUUUCUUGGGUCAAGGAUUUCCAUGGCAGCGUCAAGUCCUACGCCGUCAAACAGGUCGACACGACCGGCGCUGGCGACGCGUUCGUCGGCGCUUUGCUGGGGAAGAUCGUCGAAGACCAGUCGGCUCUGCAGGUAGAGGACAUGAGAGACCCUGUGCUUUGAUUCAUGUAUCAGGAAUGAGAUGCGUGUUGUGAUGGAUUCUGUGAUUUGUUGCAGGAUGAAAAGAAGUUGAGGGAGCUGCUGAGGUUUGCCAAUGCAUGUGGAGCAAUCACCACCACCAAGAAGGGAGCAAUCCCAUCACUGCCGACUGCAGCAGAAGCCAUGCAGCUCAUGGGCAGUGCCUAAGCCAUGUUUAGAUUGUGUUGUUCUUCUCUACAAGCUUGUUGCAGCUUCAUGAGAAUUUUCCUUGUUUGAGUUAUGAUCUUAUUUCCCUUCUUCCACCAAAUUCCUCUGGUAGCUCCCAUUUAUCUUGGCUACAUUGUGCUUAUGAUCAAUGUUACAGAAACUACUAAUUAAUGAUGGCUUUUAAAUGCUUUCAUUCAUGGCUAGCUGAUUCAUUUCACAUCAAGGCAUUGUGAAACAGCUUGAAUAUAUCACUCUUUGUCAGAGCAAAUCAAGCUGGACUGACAAGUAAAUGAUGCCAGACACUGAGAACUAAGCUAAGAAAGAUGAAAUGAUACAUAUCAUUGUGGAUAAUGAAGUAAAAAUGCACACCACCAAUACUCACUAUUAAGGUUUACUGCAAGCAGAGGUAACAAAUAAGCUCUUUUUUCUAGGGAGUGGCUGUUUCUGUCAACAUGAUUCCAAAUGGCUAUUUUGUGCAGGUUAUGUUCAUGAAAGUUCCAUAAUUCCUGAGUAUUUGCUUAAAAGAAAGCAGUUGAUGAUUGGGUUGAUAGAUGCAGAGACCAAGCUGAGUGCACAUUAUAUAAACAACUCUCUUACAUGAAUUCUACAUUGGAAGUGCACAAAAUGGAGUAAUUUGUGUUGCAUUAUCAAACAAUGACAUCGAUAAAUCAUGAUUGAAGAAGUCUCAGGUUUUCAACAAUAUAAUGCAAUCUAGGCCACAUUGCAAUGUUUGAUCAAUCUAAGCAGUGGUUGAGUUGGUACAUACCAUCUGAUUUGAGCAGUACAUCAUUCUUGGAUCAAUCCUCCCAACUAUCAGCAUGAUUUUUCUGCAAACAGCAAGUUUAUGAAAUGCCAAUUGAAGAUUGUGGUGGGCAUUUCAUGCUCACCUUCUAUAAGAUAAACUCCAAACCAGUUCUCUGUAACCAGUACCCACUGAUUCAUAGUAGAACAUAUCAGCAGCCAAAAAGAUUUGUUGUCAACCACAGUUGGGUAUUGGUCAAUCCACAAUCUAAAUCCUCUGACCAGAAUUUUACAUGAUUAGGAUGCAACAGAUAAGUUCAAUCCUCUGACCACAAUACAACCUUCCUUGCAGAGAAGUUCAUUCCUGGAUGGGUGGAAGUGCCCAUGAAGCCUCUAGAUGAAUGCAUCAAAGUAGUUAUAUUCCAUAAUUAUUUCGAGAAUUAAUAUGUGACAUGAUGGCAAUUGAUAUCCGACCUCGAUAUAAAGUUCUGCAUUGAUACAUCAUUGAUUCAUCAGAGUUUGAUGGAAGUUACUACAAAGAAAAAACAAAUAAAGCAUUUUUUUUAAAUGAUAUGCAUGUCUAGUUGCAAAAUUAUCUAUUUAUGACUAGGAAGCGCUUGAGCUGGUGGUUUCAGAAUCUGAAUUUUCAACAUCCACCACAGCAUUGAAUCCAAAUUCACUUCCUGGAGUAAAAGCUGCUUCGAGCUCUUCAGCUGUCUGGAUCGUUUUAAACUGGCUUUUCACCUUUAGGUUUUCCUAGUACCAUCAAACGUUAAGACAAUUUCAGCAAUUAAGAAUAUGCCAUACUUACGCAAAAUGUAAAACAUUAACAUGUGACAUGCCUUCUUCACAUAGUCUCCAAUUGUAAUACCAACAAUUUCUUGUAUAAGAAAUUUAGUUACACGGUCUCGCCCAAGCAUCUGUAAUAGAAAGCUCUUUGGCACCUACACCAAAUUUCAACAAACAAAAUUUCAAAUUAAUCCUGACUAGGCACACCAUUAUCAUAAAAAUGUCAAGCUUAAGAAUGAAGUUGCAUCAUGUACUAGGACAAGUGGGUCAUAUGAAAGAAAAAGGUUGGGAAAGGCUUCAAGACACAAAGCAAUGUGCAGUGGUAGCAAAUUCGUCAUUGCUAAUCUGCUUCUUACAAGUUUUAGAAGUUGAAAAGUAAAAAAGUAAAAAAGUAAACGAAGUGGGCUAAGCCACAAGUUAUUUUAGAUGGGAAUAUUUGCAUAUACAUGGUAUAUCAGAUGAUCAACAUUCUUUCCUCCAUAUCAUUCCCAACCUUAAGCUACAUUUCCUACAUAAUUUCUACAGCAAGAAGAGAUGAUAGCUUAUAACACAACUUACAAUAAACAUCUAUUAAUAUUUUAUUUCAGUUCUCAAUUGUAGGUAACUUAAGGUCAUGAUAAACAAGGCAUAAGCAGUAUUCCGAUAAGUACAAGAAAAUUCAAAGGCAACAUGCAGAAAUGCAUUGAAUGACUAGAAGAAGACCUGGUUGGAAGGACAAAGACUACUUACAUUGGAUGUCUUUCCUUGAAUCAUCCAGGAAACAUGCAGAAAAAUAUAUAUUUCGUCAGAACUAAGGCAUAAGGCAGAAAAGAACUAACAUGAAAACCAGAAAGAGAGAAUAUUGGAUGAUGUCACACAUUACGAACUUCAAGAAACAUAUCAAACCGCCAUAUCAGUAACCAAACAAACAGACCUCCUUUCAUUCUCCGGAAUCCUGGAAUUGGAGGUGCAGUGCGAGCCAAAUUUGUUAAGACAAUAUCAAAUGCCUUCUGUGUUUCCUCACCAGUUAAGUCCACUCUUACCUGAUAUAAUCAUAUUAAGAAGUUGUCACUGAGCAAAUGAACUAUUGAAAGUGAGAACUAGUUAGUAAAUAAGAAUAUAUAUUUUCAAAUAAAAAAAAGAAGAAAAAACUGGUAAUUUGCUCGCAUAUUCAACCUCCAUAUUUUUUACCACCAUAUCUUAUUAUAAACAACUACAAAGGCAUCAGUGUGGUUUCAAGGUUAGAAUUUUCAAAUAAGAUGUCGAGAAAAAAGAUUCUUAAUAGAAGAAAGAGGAUUCAAGAAGACACCCCAAAUAGGAAUAAGAUUCCUGUUGGUAUUAUUGUUAUAGCUAUAGCUUUAGCAUUUUUUUCAAAGAUGCUUAACACCUUUCCCCGUGUAACAAAACACAACCAUACCCCACAUUGUACUUCACCCAUUUCACUUAUCCGCAUAAUUGAUUGACAAAAUUUCUAACUUGUCCACAUGAUUAAGGAAAUCAAUUUUAAUCAUUUCCUUAAUCAACUACAUAAACAAAGAAUUUAAUAAUUUAAAUAAAGCAACAUAUUAUUUACAGUAAUUUGAUUUAUGUUAAGGGAAAAAAAUCAUUGGCGAUUACAAAGAGUAAGAAAAGGCAAGGAAGAAGAUUAAGAGAAGAAAAUUGGAAUUCUUUUCUCUUAUUUAAUCUGCUAAACAAUAGAAAUGCAUUCAAAGAUUGCUCUCUCUCAAGAUUAUGUGUUUUUCUCAGUUUAUGUCGAUGGUCUUGGAUUGGUGAGAGGCUGAAUUGUUCCCUUGUUUCCAAGAGCUAGUUUCGUGAGACCUACCCUUGUUUACAUGAUUUUGAUGGGGACUACUCUUGUUUUCAUGUAAUCCACUUCUGGCGACGAUACUUCUUGUUAUUAUAAGCCAAGAUACAUGUUAUCUUGAUUUUUGUUGAUCCUAUAAAAGUGCUCAAGAGGACACUGUCAUAUCCCAUUAUUUUCUAUGAUGGAAGGUCUGGCCAGAAUUUGGCCCCAUGGCCUUUCACUCUUGGAGGGUUUCCAUGUAAAUUUCAUGUCCUUUCUUGUGAUUUUCUUGGACUUGUAAAGCUUGUAAGUGGUUGUGCUAGCAUCUAUUCUUUUGUUCUGAUAUAGUCCACACAAAGAGGGGUGAGAAGAUCAUAUCUGACUUGUCAUUUGGUUGGUACUCCACCCCAACAGCUAAACAGCUUAAUAGUAUGCUAUCUACAAGUAGCAGGAGGAUAACAGAUCAACUUUGGAAAUGCAUAAACUUACUCUGAAGUAAAAUCUACGAACAUAUUAUGUACCUACUGAAUACAAAGAUCCAAGUCAUGAGCUCACAGUAAUCUUAUCAAUGUCACGUGACUCGAUGACUAUCUUAACAUUGUCCAAUCUUAUGUCAUUCUUUGACGGAUCAGAUAUUGAUGCUUCUAAACCUAUAAUCACAAGGAACUGUUAGUUAGAAUUUGUUCGAUUAAGCAACUCAGCUACCUUGCAGCACCAGAGUUGAUGCAUGAUUGAAGGGAAAGUUCACCUGGACCAACUGCAAAUGUGGACCAAGGGGAAUGCCUUAAGCCUCUUUGAUGCAAAAAUGUUAGGCUGACAAUAUUAAAGCGAUUAUUUGUGUUAGAAAUUGUAGAGAAGCAAAAAAUUCAUUUAGGGAACCAAAUGAAUCUAGACCAAUUUGGAAGCACAAUAUAAAGCAUGUUUUGCCUGAUUAGAUUUGGAAAAUCAAUAGUCUUCAUGUAAAAGCUUCUAGCUUGAUGUUGCAGGAUAGCACAACACUGUUGGUAGCCCCUGCAUAUUCAUAUGUCUUCCACAAAUACAAAGUAAACAAGGAAAAAUAAUUUAUUCAACAUGAUCCAUCCAUUGCUAGUCACAAUUUCUAUCAAUACUAAAACCAUCAAGUCUAUUGAAAGCGUAUUUCUUGUCUAACAUCAUUUUAUAAGGGAAAGUAUGUCCUACCAAAGAAAGGAAAUAACUUUACAACAUAUCCCAAAUCACUGGAAAAAGGAGAGCAGCAUACAUAAUACUGCAUCUAUCAAUUCAAGUAGGCACUAACUAGCUUACACAAGCUUUUGAAUGUUUGUAUAUCUUCCACAUAGAGAACAUCUUAAAUUCAUUAUCAACUACUUCUUUCUUUAGUAACUUGAAUCUGCUUACAUCUUCAUAAGACAAUCUUGAGAGGCACUAGUAUAAAGGAUAACCAGGAAUCUAUAGUUCUCAAAGUGACUACCACACAGAGCUUAUCUCUGAUGGUGGUACAUAAUUUCAUAUAUUUCGUCGAAUGAAAUUGGAGAUGGAUUAGUUGAAAAGUCCCAAUUGCUGCAGAGAAAUGAGUAGGAAGUCAAAAUGGAAGGUAAAGAUAUGACCAAUCAAUGCAUACGUCAAAAUAUAUCAUCUCAUUUCAGUCUCCAUGUCAAUCUAAACACGGAUGCUUCAAAUGCAAAUUAAACUGAGUAUUUUCCAGAAAGAAAACUAAAGCAGACUCCUUGAAAAAUUUAAUCAAAACAAUUAGCUUCUGUGCAUCAAAACCCUGAAAACAAAUAAUUGGUAACAGGAAAAGGAAACAGCUGGAGAUUUACCUUUGACCUUCCCAUACAUUACAAGCAGUAGCUCUUUCAGUUGUUCUACUUAGAGUGGCUUUCAAACUUAUAGGCACGAUCACCUGGAGAUUAAAUUGCAUCAGAUGUAGCAAAGAGACAAAUUAACCUACAUAACGAUUACGAGAUUAAACAAAAUCAACAAUAACAGAACCAACCAUUUAUGGUACUCAUUUAUAAUCACAAAGUGCUAAUAUAAGAUCAAAACUUCUUUUUUGGCAUACAUCAAGAGAACAGAAGCCAGAAACCAAAUGUUGUUAAAAACUAGGGUUUUCUUGAGAGAGAAUUGCAUCAAGCUCAUCUGAUUCUUCGUAAUAAACAGAAAAACAGAGAAAACUGGAAGCCAGAAAAUGAAUUGGAAUUACUCGAGAAAUUCGAGAUUUAUUCCGUUGAAGCGGAAGCUUCGGACCGACCGCAGUCAUCAUCAUUAACGCCAUGAUUCUCUGCUACAGAUCUCGAAAGCAACACGAAACAAGAAGAAGAAACCCUAAUUUUGAAUAAGAGGGCAGCCGCUCGAUCCCACGUUAUCCACAGUUCCAAUUGACAGAAAUACCCUUUUCCAUCACGAUCAAUUACGAGAAAGCCGUCGUCGUCAUUCUCAAAUUGGUCCGGCGGAGCACCGGGAGGAGGAGAGCUAUAAAAGAUUGAGCUUCGGGUUUCCGGACGGGAAUUGGGGGUUGGGGUUUCGGAGUGGAGGUGCGGGAACGAGAUGGAAGUAGCUGUUAGAACCCUCUGCAAUGGAUCCAGCCGAGGUUACAAAUGCUCUCACAAUCCAAUCUUUUCUUCCCAUAUCGUCUAUUAGGUGAACAACGUAUUUGAUCUUUGCUUCCGGUUUGCAUUGUUCUGAUCCGUGGUUGAACUGAGUUCUGACCAUGGGUUGCAACUCCUCCUUCAGGAAUUGUUUAGGGGAGACAAAAGGAUCAGACAAACUAUUCAAUGGGAUGAAUAAUGCCUGUAUGAAUUGCAUGCUACAAUGGUUAUAGAACAAUGGUUCUUGAAUGGAGGUGCUGCCAAGGGCCUUAUCUAUCUACGGCAAGAAGCUCAUAGAAUAGAAAUCUUUGUGCAGUGGAAAUAGAUUUAGAUUUAUAUUAAAGGUUAAAUAUUAGAGAAUUUUUGAAAGAUUAAUAAGCAAAUGCAUCAGCUUUUGGGUUCAAGUUCAUAUUGGUGAUGUGAUAAUUUUAGCCAUCACCUAAGAUUACAUGAUCCAAUGGGAUCUACAAAAAAAAUCACAUGUUACUUAUGAUUCAAGCUGUAAAUGAAUACCACAAUUAGUUUGGUUAUUAUCACAUCCCAUAAAAAUGGUUUCUCCCUUCCUUUCUCCAUCUGAACUCAUAGGCAGCCCAGCCAAGCAGGUCAAAAAGCUCACAUUCCUAUGGACAACCUUCCAGCUGAUGUGUCAUGAGGAAGAAAAAGUCAAUGUUGUGCAAAAGAAAUCACAUGCUGGACUUCUUCAAAAUAUAAAUCCAAUGCCUAUUUUAUCACAAUUCCUUUUGAAUAUAUACAUACACAUAUAUUACUAAUGGCUAUUGAGAGGCAAAAUUAAUCUUUUAAUGAAAGAAGAAGCCAGAUUAAAAGAUAUGUGAAAUCAAUUUUAGCAAAGCUCAAACACUUGCAUUAAGAGAGAGAUUAACCAUAAAUCUCACAUAGUAAUUUUUUUUACCUCCAAAAAAAAGAAAAAGAGAAAAAAAGGCAUUGGACUGACAAACAGGGAAAUGAUACAAGGAAAAGACAGCACAAUUACCAAUCACAAGGAGGUUAUAGAUGAUUUCCCAGCAUAAUAAGUAGGUUUUCUUUGAAAACACAUGUGAUCCAUUAAAUCCAAAACCACAUAGUUCCUUUGUAAGUGACAGAAAUAUUUAACUGAAAAUUGUCACCGAUCAGCCACUGCUCAAAAUAAGAUCUUCAGACUUCUUGGACACUCAAGCCUGCAACAUCAAACAAAUAAGAUCCUAACAUUAUUAUCGAAGUCAAACCAUCAGCACUAGAUUGUAUCUCAAUCAACUCAUUUAGUGAACAUGAAUUCACUGUUGUUGGGGAAAUAAGUGAUGUCGAAGAAACCAAGAGCUGUCUAUCAUUCUAAUUUCUACAUGCUUUACGCUCUUUACAGUUGUCCAUCGAUUAAUGCCUGUUAGAAAUGUACAAAAAAUUGCUUUGGUUUGUGCAGCUUUCAAACGAAUCUUUAGCAACCCUUAGAAUAGAUAACAAAGACUAGUAUGAACUGUGCAUGAAAUUGAGGCAAGUACUAUGUUGAUGCCCAGGCUCCACAAGCAGCUUUCACCUUAUCGCAUGAACAAUCCUAAAUAGGAUGCAGCUUACUCUAUCCAUUGGCUAAGGAUAACUCUUUCUGUCAAAUGAGGAUGACCAAAUUUCAACAUGGUAACAACCCAUUAUAUACAAUCUGAUUUCUCAACCAAUAAUGUAAACGAAUACUAAUUUUGUCUUCAAAUGAUCAAGACAUUGCAUAUCCUACAUCAGAAUAAUUUACAUAUAUAUCACACGAAUCAAUAAGCUAGCAGUAUAGCUUAGGUCUAGAUCUUGAUGUUACUCAGUAUUUCCAUUACUAUUGACAACAAAGAAUAUCAACUAUGACCUUCGAAUGUAUAACUUCUUUCUUAUAAAUUGAGAUUAUCUGUUAACAUAAAAGUCAGGGCUAAUUACAGAUUAUCCCCUAUAAUUAGAUCUCUUUAGCAUUCUGGUCCCUAUACUUAAAAAAUUUACAAUGAAAUCCUUAUAGUUAUGAAAAUGAAACAAUUAACCCUAUUUAUCCUAACGUCAUCAAUUUUACUGAUGAAAGAUACAACAUAUGACAGCAUGUGCAGGAAUGACACGAAAACAAUGGGUAAAAUGAUAAUUUCAACAUCUCAGUUACGUUUUUUUUCUUCUUUGUGUUAGUGGCGAACGACAACGCCAUUAGAGCCGCGAGUGGUUGAACGAUGAAACGACCAAUCAACAUCUGCAUCGACACUGAUGCAAAUGCAGAGCAACAAAAGGGGAAAGAAGGAUGAGGGAUUGGUCAAGAAGGGGGAGGAGGAGGAAGAGGAAGGAGAGUGACGACGAGAUGUGAGACAAAGGGAGAGGAGAAAAAGAACGACACAGAUGUCGACGUUCUGCAUCUACGUAAGCGUUGCUCGACAUUUGCGUUGGCGUCAACGCAAAUGCAGAAAGUCGAUAUCUCCGUCGUCCUCUUCCUCCUCUCCCUUUGCCUCACUUUUCAUCGCUGCUCUCCCUCCUUCCCCAAUCCCUCAUUCUUCUUUCCUCUUUCGUCGCUCUGCUUCUGCGUCGACGCUAAUGCAAAUGUCAAGCAAAGCUCUGCGUGGACGCCGAUACAAAUGUCAAGUGGUCGUUUCGUCACUCAGCCACCCGUGACUCCAGCGAUGCCGUUAUCCACCACCACAAUUAAAAAGAAAGAAAACAUAACAGGGACGUUGAAAUUAUCUUUUUACAUAUCAUUUUUAUGUUAUUCCUGCGCAUGUUAUCACGUAUUAUAUCUUUCGUCGAUAAAACCAACGACAUUAGGAUCAAUGACUUUAAUUGUUUUACUUUCAUAACUAUAAAUAUUCUAAUAUAAAUUAUUUAAGUUAAGGGACUGGGAUGCUUCAAAAAAAGUCUUAACUAAAUGUAGCCCUACAAGUCACGGCAAACGAAGGAAGAUAAUUAAACGAACCUGGGGGAAGAGAUUGCUUCAACUUGUCUGCCUUCUCAUAGUCGAACACACACAAUGUGUAGAGGUACUUGGCGCAGCGAACUUUGAACUUUACCACGUCCUUGCUCCUCUUUAUCUUCACCGACCUCGCAUCUUUCCUUCUCGCAGUGAGAAGGAAAUCCUUAAUCUCGUGGAUUUGCUUGGGCUGCAAACGAUCAAAAAGCCAUCUUUUACAGGCGUGCUGGCGCACUAUGGCUUUUCAGCCUCGAUUCAACCGAUUCCUCCAGGAAAACAGAAAACAGCAAUUACAUGAUACGACUCGAACAAGAAUCGUCAGUACAAUAAAGCUCAAACAAAUUCGACAUGCUAAAUCUGCUGAGACUACAAAAUCGAAAUCCUUCAAGAAAAUAUACACAAGGAUUCAAGAAAGAACGAAUCGCAAGAACAUGCAGCUAACUACUGCGUCAUUGAAGUGAAAACUGUAACGAGAAUGAAGAAUUGGCACGCUAAUCACACGAACAACAAGGAUCGAGUAGAAAUAUACCAUCUUGAAUUGCUUCGGUGGCCAACACGAGCUGCGUAAUACCGUUGCAACACGAGGCGCCGGGCUUUUAUUGUCGCCACGAGCAAACCCUAGUCUCCCGAACCUCAGCCUCGGUUACGUAAAUGCCCCUACUCUUGUGACUUUAUUACAUAAAUAACACGACUUAUGACGCGGUCACCCUUGAGUAUUUUCCGGGUGAUGUCACUCAUGAUGACAAUGAGACACUAACUCCGGGUUCCCACGCGUCAUCAAGUAGUUGCCACGGCGGCCAGGAAUUUUCCAAAGAGGGUUUCAUCCGUCCUACGUUUUCCUCGUUGCAAAGAUAAGUGAUUCACCCGUUAAACAAAUGCACGUUACCUAUAGCACGGACACAGUCAUGAGGAAUUCAUCGUUAUAUCACGGGCUAAUUAAAUAUCGUUCCUAUAAUUAGAUUUUUAUUACUAUUCUGAUUUUUAUACUUAAAAAAAUUAUAUUAUAAAUUUUAUAAUCAUGAAAAUAAAAUAUUUAGUUUCAUUUAUCAUAAUAUCAUCAGUGUUUUAUUGAUAGAAGUACAAAAACAAUAAGUAAAAAUAUAAUUUUAAUGUUUCAAUUAUAUUUUCAGUGAUGAUAGAUGACGAUGUCAUUGGAGAUUAUGGGUAGUUGUUGAAGAUGAAAAGGAAGAGCGAUAAUGAGAGAUAAGGUGAUGAUGCAUAUAUCUAACAAUAUAUGUUUGUAUCAAUGUCGAUGUAGAUGUUGAAUGAUUAUUUCAUCAUAUAUGUAUCAGCACUAACGUAGAUAUAGAAUGACAAAAAGAUUACUUGGUAUCUGUAUCGACAUCGAUAUAGAUAUAGGGCAUUAACAUUUAUGUUGUCACCUCAUCUUUCGUUGUCACUCUUUCUCAUUUUCAAUAGUUAUUCAUAACCUCUAACAACAUCGUCGUUUGUUAUUAUCAAAAAUAUAAUUAAUAUGUUAUAAAUUUAUUAUUAUUAUUUAUUUUCAUAUUUUUAUCGAUAAAACUGAUGAUGUUAGAAUAAAUAAAGCUAGAUAUUUUAUCUUAUAAUUAUAUAUUUUAAUAUAAUUUUUUUAAAUCCAAAGAUCAAUAUGGAUAAUAUAUAAUUAACCCUCGUAAUAAGCCGUGAGAGUAAUUACUUGAGCUUAGUAGAUGCCACGGCAACUAAAAACUUUGGGAGGAUGAUGCAAGCUUUUUCCCGGAGCCACGAAGGGGUGAACAAGAUUUUUCUGGGUGAUGUCACCAUCUGCGAAAAUGAAGACCAUACAUGUGGGUUGCGCUCAUGAGAUUACUGUGAGACCACAUCACCCCGAACAUUUUCAGGGGAGGGCUCAACUGGCUUUCGGCUCGGUCCAAAUUGACCCCUCGUCGGGCCACAAAGCCUGACGAGCGAUUGGCGGGAAAAUAUUUGCCAAACUUCCCUCCUCGCGCGCGCGUAGAAUUUGAUCGAACGGCAUCCGAUAGUUCGAUCUUCCAUGAACUCUCAUCAGACAACAUUAUCCGUUCGAUACGAAUCCACCUGGCACGAGCUUGAACACGCCAUAUACAUGCGCUUUUCUACCGCACUGCUCUCUUUUUCCCAUCAGUUUGCGAGUAAAGAGAGGAGGACAAAUCAACUCUCCAAAUUUGUCAAAGAGAUCCAACGAUUUUGAUCUGUAUUCUUCGUCCUGCGAUCGAUCUGGAGGUAACGUUUCCGAUCUGCAGAUCUAUUUCUUGAUCGGGAAACGUGGGAAAUGAGCUCGCUUGCGUUUGCUAAAGAUUUUUAGGGAUUUGCGGGAUUUCAUUGUGAAAUUUGUGCUAUUCUCAGUCUCUGUUAUACGUUAAUGAAUCAUCGAUUGAAUUUUGUUCUUCGUCUUUUGUCGCUGCUGUCAUCGAAUUAAGCAGUCCUGGAAAGGAUUUAGAGUGGACCAGGUAGUUUUUGGUUUUCUAGAACCUAAAAUUGAGCGUUCUGAAACAUUAUUUCUUCCGGAGUUGAUUCUACCUGUUUUUGUUUUGAUCGUGGUGCCAUCCAGUUUCAAGAUUUACAAUGGCGUGUCUUGGGUCCAUUGUUCUUGGCACUGAUCGAGCCGAGGAGUCUUAUAUCGCCAAUGUUGAUAGGGAUGCCUUGAUUUUAGACAUUGACCCAGCGAAAUCUGAAGCGAAUGUCGUUGUCAACAGAAUCCCUGAGUUCGAUGAGGAUUUGUUGGUUCUUGAUGAUAUCCCUGCUAAUGAGGCAAGAUGGAAGCUAGCAAACGAGGAUCGUGAGAAGGAAGACCACUGUACGGAUGCAACAGGCGUUGAUAUUGUUGCAGCAGAAAACUCGAGUACGCCUGUAGAGAUGGUUCAAGAUAGUUCCCAUGUCGAGGCAGUAACAAAGUGCAAAGCUGAAGUGGAAGAUGAGCAGAAGAGGGUGAAGAAGCUGUUGAAAAGGAAAAGAGCUUCUUUUGAUGGGAAUGCGAACUGUGAUAAUAAGGAAGUAUUGAUAACGAAGUGCCAGGGUGAGCUUGAUGAAUUGUUUGAGUAUCACAAGGAGGUUUCUGGUCUUAGGCUGCAACUAGAUGAUGGCGCAUAUCAUUCCAACAAUAUGAUGGUUGCUUAUUUGCUGGAAGAAAGUAGACUUCCAUUUUCCAAGUUAGUGGGGGAAAUUUAUGGGGCUUUGAAGGGAAAGAACGGGAUUACUUUGGCAUCUGUCCGUGGUAGCGUGCUCUUUGUAGGACAGAGAAUGAUGUAUGGUAUUUCUAGUGCAGAUGCGGAUGUAUUGGAAGAUGAGUCAGAGUCAUCCCUUUGGUGCUGGGAGGUAAUACCCUAUUUUGUUUAAUUGCUUUCAUUCAAUUAAUCAUUUGUAUGCACCUUUUUUGUGCUUACAUGUGAUUCUUCUUGAUGUUUGACGUUUGUGUUGAUCAGACAAGAGAUAUUAAGCUGUUGCCUAUUACUCUUCGUGGCAUUAUCAACAUCCGUCGCAUGGCUCGAAAGAAGAUUCAUGAGAGGAUUUCUGCACUUUCUGGUGAGAACAUUUGUUUUGAGCUUAUUACGAUCCACAGAUUUGUUUGUCUUUACUCUUGGUAACUUUUUCUUUUUCGUUAUCUAUGGUAUUCUAGCUUUUUACGUUGUGUGGAAAUGGAUUUUUUUUAGUCGUGGACUAUAGCUUUACUGUAGCAUACAGAAAUCAUAUCUUUUUGUUUUUACUUAACCUACAUAAAAACCUUUGGUCCUUUUACCCUGCGCCUAAAAUAUUUGUGUGCUCUUUGAUGGUUUGCCAUGGUAUGUACCUUAUUUUUUUCCUAAGCAAGUUGGCCUUAAGAUGAUUGCAAAUUAUCAUCUAAAAUUUUUCUUUUCUGGUGUCUGAUUAUCUUGAUUACCUGUAUCAUGCAUUAUAUGGUUGGUCUUCUAUUCUUCAUUUGUGGUAUCAUUCAUCUUAUGUUCCUUAUAUCAUUGCACCUUUUCUUCCAUUGUUCGUUGCCCAACAAGUGAAACGAAUGAAUAUGGAAUAACGUUUUAUCAUUUCAUUUAUUCUAUAUUAGGUUCGGAUGUUCAUAUUUAUUUCAUUAUAAUGUUUAGAUUUCAAGGUGCUUUUAUGUACUAUUUGUGCGUUGAUACCUGUAAGUUUUUGACAACCUUUGUGGAGAAUAAUUGUUUUCCUUUUUGCACUGAGGAGUCAGUUAGCUAAUUGUACCCAUACAUUUGACUCACUUUAGCGACAUUAUCUGCGCUGACGAGUCCUGAACAUAAAGGUGCUUAUGGAAAUAAUCUGAUGGAAGCAUCGAUCAAGCUUGGGAAGGCAUUAAAUAGGCAAGGGAUUUCUUCAUUUGUUGAAAACUUGACCCAGAAGUACUGUGCUGACAUGUAUGCUCCCUCUCCAAAUUUCCCUGUCUUCAAAAUCUCACAAUAUUUCUUUUAGAUCAACCCUAAACUAUGGUAAUUGCAGGGCUGAGAAAGGAGAUUGGCUACAACAAAAGGAAUUAAUGAAGAAAAUUGAGAAAAAUAAGCAUAGUGCAGAAAAGGAAAAGAAGAAAAUGGAUCGUGAGUUUCAGAAAGAGAACUUAAGACGUGUAAGUAAUGGAUUUUCUGUGACAUGGGUUGCCAUGAUGAUGAAGUACACAAGUUUGAAUAACUCUUGGUCUUGCAUGUAACACACUAAGACCAAAAGUCUAGAAUAUCUACUUGAGGAUGAAAAGUAUUACAAAAAACCCAAUACUGAUGUUUCUUAGGAUCACAUAUGGACAGAGCACUACUGUCCUAAAAGUAUGAGUUAAAUAGCUGCUAAACCAUGCCUGAUUAAUUAUCUGGAGCUGUUCAAUUAAUUUAUUCAUUGAAACACUAGCAAUGAAGCUUCACGUGAGCUUCAUAGUGUAAGCUACUUUUGCAGGAUAGGUUUCUCCAGGGGUGGCAAGCUAGCACUGAUUCCAUGAGCAGGGCCCUGCCAGUGGACCCCAAGGGCAUUGUGCCUAUCAUGCAUGGAUGAUCUACAUUAUAUGAUCUGUAGCCAACUGAGGGUUCGGUGAUUAGUAUUAUGUUGGGGUUAAUCUUAUUUGCAAUUAACAGACCUAACACCAAAGAAAUCAAGAAUAAACUUGAACCGACACUAUUAAUCCACACUAUUGGUUCGAGAUCUUAUGAAGUUUAGAUUACUGGCAGAUACUCUCACCAUUGCAAUUUUCCCUCGAUUUGCAGGAGAAAGAGCUUAAAAGGAUGCAGGAAGAAGCUGAAAGAGAAGAGAAGCAUCGUGAAAAAGAAGCAGCAGAACUGAAGAAACAAAUAAAAAGGCAGCUAGAAGAAGCUGCGAGGGAACGACGGCGCCGUGAAAAAGAAGAAGCUGAACUGAAGAAACAGUUUGCCAUACAGAAGCAAGCUUCUAUUAUGGAACGGUUUCUCAAGAGUAAAAAGAAUAGCAAUAGUUCAGAUGACAAAGUGUCCAUAAAGAACUCAUCCACUGAAACAUCUUCCAAGAACACAGGGAUCACUAGUGCAGUUACAUCAUCAAUGGACUGUGGCUUUUCCCAGGAAUGUAGCUUAACCACAAAGGAUCUGCGUGGGUUAGUAACAAGACCUUUCUUUCAUUUUUUUCUUUAAAACUUCAGUUUAUAUUUGAGUUGUUAAUUUUCUGGAAAAAUUUAUAAAAUUAUAUUAAUUUUAGAGUUGCCAUUCAGAUUAAUUUCUGAAGUGGCUUGAGCAAAUCACUAAUUAGAAAGUUCAUUUUUUUCUUAGAGACAAGUUAUGAGUAAGGGGAAUUAUUGUCUGUGAAAUAAAGAAAAAUGAACAGAUAUUCUUCUGACAAAUAAAGCAUAUAAUAACUAUGCAACAUUGUAGUCUUGUCUUGGUCUAGGAUGUCCUAGCAGACGUAUGUUUGGUUGCAAUCAAGGGGAGAUUCAGUUGACUACUGUAUCAUAUUCCCCUGGGCAUUAUAUCUAAGAGAACUGAUCAUGUAAAUAAUGCAGGUUGCAUAUUACUGGCUGGCAUAAGUUGGCUCACCUCGGCAGAUCCUGCCACUGGGGUGUUAGGCGCAAUCCCAAGAUUGAGUUGAUGAAGGAACUCAAGCUGCAAAGACCAUCCUUUGUAGGUGAAGCUCUUGAGAAAAAUGCAGCUCUGGAGAAGGAAACUUCCUCUCAUGAGGCCAAUAGCAGUGAAUUGAGCUAUGAUAAGCUUGACAAUGAACUAGAGUCUUUAACAAAUAAUAUAUGUCAAGAUGAUCUCCAUAUUCAACCAUCAUCAGCCUGGAUGCAGCAUAAGAAACUUUUGCAGUUUUGCCAAAAUCAUAGGCCAGCAUACUAUGGUACUUGGCGCAGGAAAAGGUAAGCCUUUAUUUCCUAAAUUUACCCUAACAUUUUUUUAUUUACAUUUCCACCAAAGCUUUGAUAUUCUUUCUUUUAACUGCAAUGGUGCUACCAUAGUGGUGUUGUUGGUCCGAGGCACCCAUUUAGGAAGGACCCCGAAUUGGAUUAUGACAUUGAUAGUGAUGAGGAAUGGGAAGAGGUACUUGUCAUUCAAACCUUUUGUAUCUGUUACUGAGAUCAACAGUCAUGACUUGGUAUUUGCUUUUUGCACAGGAGGAUCCAGGUGAAAGUCUUUCUGACUGUGACAAAAAUGAUGAAGAAAUUUUAGAUGCAGAAAAUUGUAAAAAUGAGGAUGACACUGAAAGUGAAGAUAGCUUUGUUGUUCCUGAUGGUUAUCUAUCCGAAAAUGAGGUGCAGAUGAAAACAGACUAUAAAUAAUGUUCUAUAUGUGUUACUUCGCUCAUUAAUUCUUCAUUUCCCAAACUCGUGAUUCUACUAAUUUUACUGCAUCUAUUUUCAUAUAUUUUGAAAGUUUUCUCUUUGCUAUUAUCAAUUCUGAGUUAUUUGUGAGGUUCUGACUUUUGUUAUUUACCUUUUGUGCUCCACUUGGAUAAGUGCUUUUCUUUUGAUAAUGCAUAUGUUUAUGUUUGAAAGCAUAUUUAUCCAACCUUGUAACCGAUCAAGCUUUUGUCACUACUAAUUGAAGGUAUUGAACUUCAAAAUGACUGCAAAAACACAAAUGCUGAUUUUAUUUUGAGAUUUUUAUUAUGUUGAUCUUUAUUAGCUGUGAUUUUGGAACUUUUAUGAAUCAUGUUUCAAUCUGGCGAAACUUGGACUCUGCUUCUUUGUAGUAUGAAUGAGAAGUUGCACAAGCAGCCUCUCUUCUACCAGUGUUAAUGUUGCAUGACAGUCUACUCUCUAGCUAAAGAUUGCCUUGAGUAGCAUAAAGUCGGUCAAGUCAGUUUGAGAGUCCAUCUGAGAGGUUCUCAGAAUUUGUUGGUUUGCACCCUGCUCCAUAAGCUUGAAAUGACACUUGGGAUGGGUGUUAACUACUUGGCUCUAUGUUGAUUGGUGUUUGUUCAGAUUCUGAAAUCUGUCUUUGCUUCCAGGGAGUCGAAAUGCAAAUCUCAUGUGAACCCACAGAGGAUGAGGCAAAAGUCUCAAAAUGUUGCAAGUCAGAGGUCGACAGUGAGGAAUCCAGAGCAUUGUUGCAGUGGCAGAAGAUCCUCUGCAAUUUGACUGAAAAGGCCCUUCGAAAGAGCCAUCCAUUGGUCAUUUCCAACUUAACUCAUGAAAAAGCUAAACUACUGAUGGCCGAAGAUCUUGCUGGCACAGCUAAAGUUGAGCAGAUCUGUUUGCGAGCUCUCUGCAUGCAGGCCUUUCCUGGAGGCUCCAUUGUAGACAUCUUAAAAGAUCCCAACACAUCGUCUGAUGAUCAACAAGUUUGCCGAUGUUCUAAAGAAAAUACUACACAGGGAGCCACUGUUGCAAUGAUAUCAGAUUUGGACUUGCCAGAAUUUGUAAGUAACAGAGAGAGAUAGGCAAACUUAAAUGACAUUUAAAUCUAGUUUUGUUCUAGUUUCAUCUUUUCCUUACUUUUCGGAACCCUUGACUGCAGGUUAGGCUGAUCCAGUCCUGUCCGCAUGGGAUUAAUAAGGUGGUUGAGGUGUUGCAACAGAAGUUUCCGACCACCUCAAAGUCACGAUUGAGAAAUAAAGUACGGGAAAUAUCCAACUUCGUUGACAGUCGUUGGCAGGUGAAUUCAUGUUUUCAUACAUGAUUAUGCUCCUGUUGCCGUCAUUGAAAAAAAAAUCAUGGUGCCUUCUGCUGCAACUUUCAUGGUUUCUGUUGGCUAAUUUGUAUGCACAGGUUAAGAAAGAUGUCUUGGAAAAGAUUGGCUUGUCAACCUCUCAGCCCCCUCCCGGUAUUAAUACAGUCAACUAUACUGGAUGUUGAGAAGAAACAAUCUAAUUUCUUUACCAUGUCUACAUUUCUUCAUCAAAUCAAAAUUUUAUACAAGCUUUCUCAAUCAGCAUAUUGUGUAGAUAUAAGUUUAUGGUAUGAUGCUGAAUUCUGAAUCUAGCUUGUUGGGUUAUGGUCUUGACAGAUAAGGAUUGGACAGGUACAACAAAGUACUUCUCCAAACGAUGCUUACCUCCUAAAGGGAGGCCCACAGAGAUUUCCGAAUCUUCUCAGUCAUCCUCAAAACUGAAGAGAUCAUUCUGUGGCCGGGAGAGAUCAUUUCCGAAUCAUCUGUAAGUGUUUGAUGUAUAUAAGUUUAUUAGCAAAUUCUUGUUCUUUCUGUGGCCAAAUUGUUUUGGCCUAUGAAGAGUACAAAAGAGAAUGACAUCCAUUUUGGUGGACACUAAUGGCAGUGGAUGCUAAUAAGAUGAUGUUUGCUAAUGAGUUUUUGUUGCUUGGAACACUGAGUGGGCCGAGCUUUGAGUUAGUUGUCUAAUAAGUAAAACAAUGUUUAUAGAUGUGGAAGAAACAAUUGAUUCGCUAUAAGAAUGUAGCUUCAGAUGAACAAAUGAAUUAGGCAUAACAACUAGCAGACAGUGGAUGAAACCCAGAAGUGAAUGGAAGAAGUGGCUUAAGCUUAUACUUGGAAUGGCCAUGGCCAAUCCUUGAGCUCCUCGUCGCUGCCCACGACUUUGGAGCUCCUCUUUGAGGCGGUGGCGGUGCUGCCUCCUUCGACGUAGGCAUGGUAACGCAGCAGGAAGGCCACAGCGAGGGCCACCCACUCCAGGCAGAAGAUGGCGAGGCCGAGGCCGCCGACCAUCUUGAGGAUGACUGCGCCGUCCUCCUCGCGGACGUAGGAUCGCAGCUCGACGAGGAAGUCGGGGGUGCGAGUGAAGGCGAGGACGGAGAUGGCGCCAUGGAAGAUGGCGGCGAGGACGGUGGAGGCCAUGUGGGCGGCGUGCCAGCGGGCGGUGGAGGCGGGGGUGGUGGCGCAG
rnacentral:lncRNA from 1 species